UACAGAGGGGGCAAGCGUUGUUCGGAAUUACUGGGCGUAAAGGGCGCGUAGGCGGCCUUCUAAGUCGAACGUGAAAUCCCUGGGCUCAACCCAGGAACUGCGUCCGAUACUGGAAGGCUUGAAUCCGGGAGAGGGAUGCGGAAUUCCAGGUGUAGCGGUGAAAUGCGUAGAUAUCUGGAGGAACACCGGUGGCGAAGGCGGCAUCCUGGACCGGCAUUGACGCUGAGGCGCGAAAGCAUGGGGAGCGAACAGG
rnacentral:rRNA from 1 species